GGAUGUAGCACCACAAGCCUCAGAAGAAAUACGACCACGAAGAGUAAAAAUGAAAGUACGUCAUCAUAGGCAACGAGCAGUUGCGUGCAAGUCACAUUUUGUACAAUUAUGUGUAUCAAAAUAUAAAAGGUUGACGAAGGAAGAGACACAUGUUGCCGACUAUGUGUUUGACGAGUCAAAAGAUCCUAGUGAGAUGCUUUGUGCAUAUGGUGGCUAUGGCGUGACACGGGAACAACUUCAAUGCUUAGUAGGGGAGAACUUCAUUGAUAUUCCGGUAAGGUUUAUGAUAAAUAAGAAAAAAUACCUUCAUCUUUCCAUUGAUCAUUUUAACUAAUGAAGAGGCAUUAUGUAGGUGAUUUCCAUGUUUUGUCGAUACAUGAAUGCAAAAGAAGAGAAUCCUUCUCGCAGACACUUUUUUAAUCCAUACUUUGGGGAAAUAUGUGGUUCAAUGAGCAAGUCUACCUCAAAAUCAACACUCAAGAAAAGAUUAGGUAGCUAUUGUGUUAAUCUUGAAUGUUGCAACCAGGUAAUGCUUGACUAUUGUAUUGAUUACAUAGAUUGAUGACAAUUUUUUAAUAAUUUUGAAUUUAUAUUUCAAAUAUUUAAGCCUUCAUUGUUGUUAUGAUGAUUGUCUGUUUUGUAGUUUUAUAUCCUCUUAUUCCAAUUUAAUGAAUGGGUGAUCAUGGUAAUCAAUUUGGAGGCUAAAAGGGUUGAUCUACUUUCAUCAUAUAAUAGCAUUCAACGUGUUCACUUUGUUAAUGAAGCUUUCAAAGUAGUUGGAUUUAUGUCGCAGUUAUUAAAAAAUUCCUUCAAAUGGAAUGAUGUGAAUAUAAAGAAUUUACAUCCACAGUAUGCAGAUAUCGUUGGCGAUCCAAAAUUAUGUCAUACUGGGAUGUAUGCUAUUCUCUAUAUGCAACAUUGGGAUGGAAGUGGUCUUAAUAAAAUCAUUAAUUCUGUAAGUUGUUAAAUAUGAUGUUAUGUUUUUAUUUUCAAAUGUACAUGUUAAAUGUUACCGGGAUGUAGGGUCUAACAUAAGUUUAAUGUGUAGGAAUGCAUGAGCCUUGAAAGAUUGAAAUUUGCAACUCAUAUGGUUCUUGAUAGCGAAAAUGAAAUUGGUGAAAUGGUUACAACUAAUAUUUGGUCAACCAACGAUGCAAAAUAGUAUUGGGUAACCUUCACAAUUAAUUUCUUUUGUUUUAUUUCAUUCAAUUUUUUAACUAUACAUUCAAAUUUAAACUUCAACUUGGUCAUCGAUAGUGAAUAAUAGAUUUUGAGGCUAUGUCAUGUCUUUUUUAUGGUACAAUAGAAGGGAUAAGUUAUCAAGACUGCUUCCAAUGCAUGUAUGGUUCAUUUGACUACUAGGUUAGGUGCUAUCUCCUCCCUAUAUAUAUAAAACUAUAGUAAAUGACAUUUUUAUUUUUUAAGGUUAUAUUAUUGACAAUUUCUUUAUGCUUCCAUAAAUCGUUUAUGCUAUUCUAUAUAACCUGUUUAAAUCAGUUGAUAAUAUUGUAAUGACAUGGUCUGGUUGCUUAAACUUAUCCCCAAUUUUCUAUGUUUAUGUAUAAUCAUGAGCUAAUUAUUAGAUAAUUUAACAACCCUGUAAACCAAUUUGGUCAAAUGGCUGUAUUUUCUGUUUAGCUGAAAGAAUCCUUGUUACCAUCUUAUUGUGGGUUUGGCUGUCUCGCAUCUAUAAAGCAAUUGAUACUAAACUUAGUUUAGAGUGAUUUUUGAUGGUUAGGCAUUUAAUAAGACAAAGGAUGACUUGUUCCUGCAUUAAUAUUUCCUAGGGGAGUGUUGUGGAAGGAACCCUCUAAAAGAAUAAGUUCCUUCAUUACUCAUAAGCUUUAUAGGUUUUUAUUAUGUUUUAUUUACAUCUUGUGGUUAACUGUACUUCUCUUAUCUUUAGGAGGUCACUGAUAAGUUGAUUGAAGAGGAUGAAUUUGAUGCAGAUCAAAAGGAUGCAUUUAAGGUGAUCUGUAAUUGAUGAUAUGCAUGUAACUGAUUGCUUUUACAUGUAAUUAACCAUACCAUGAACUUAAAUUGUUUUGGUUGCUCAGAAUUUUGUCAAAGACAAUGUCUGGGAGGCAAAAAAAGCCAAUAGACAGGUAUUUUAUAGCAGAUACCAAUCGUUGCAAUAGUUUUGGUCUUGCACAUAAAUUUCAAAUAUGUUGAGUACUUGUCAAUUCCUUUUCUUGUAGGCUAGAGAAGCCUGAAAAAAGGCCUUGCAGAAAUGAGUUAGUACACUAAAGCAGCAUUUGAAAACAUGAAGUUUAACAAGUUCUACUUAGUCCAGACCGAUGAUACUCCUGACAUAUCAAAUGUUAAGGCACCGUUUAUAAACAGGUAUUAUGGGAAAGCUCAUGAAGUUCUGUGAUUGGGCUCAUCAACCACCAGUAUUUCUACUGCAAAAGAUGCCAAUUGAUUUGCAUUGGGGACUAUAGCUAGCUAUUGAUUCUAGGAUAUGUUUCAUGAUGAAAGUUCAUAAUGGAAC